GACGUAGGAUGCGAGCGUUGUCCGGAUUUAUUGGGCGUAAAGGGUGCGUAGGCGGCGCGGUAAGUCGGGUGUGAAAUCUUGGAGCUUAACUCCGAAACUGCAUUCGAUACUGCCGUGCUUGAGGACUGGAGAGGAGACUGGAAUUUACGGUGUAGCGGUGAAAUGCGUAGAUAUCGUAAGGAAGACCAGUGGCGAAGGCGGGUCUCUGGACAGUUCCUGACGCUGAGGCACGAAGGCCAGGGGAGCAAACGGG
rnacentral:rRNA from 1 species